UACGUAGGGCGCAAGCGUUAUCCGGAAUUAUUGGGCGUAAAGAGCUCGUAGGCGGUUUGUCGCGUCUGCCGUGAAAGUCCGGGGCUCAACUCCGGAUCUGCGGUGGGUACGGGCAGACUAGAGUGAUGUAGGGGAGACUGGAAUUCCUGGUGUAGCGGUGAAAUGCGCAGAUAUCAGGAGGAACACCGGUGGCGAAGGCGGGUCUCUGGGCCGAUACUGACGCUGAGGAGCGAAAGCAUGGGGAGCGAACAGG
rnacentral:rRNA from 1 species